GAGAGCUUGUGCCUUUUCAUUCGACAUCAUCCGGACGUUCAGGUCUUUGACAGCAUCGUCAACACUGCCUGACCUGCUGAGUUCCUCCAGCAUUUUGUCUGCUGCUUUGCAUUUACAGCAUCUGCAGAUUUUCUUCUGUUUGUCAUUAUUAAUUGUUACAGAUUGGCAGAUAUGACAUUGUGGCCAUCUUUGAAACUUGUCUAAAGUAUGGCGGCCAUUGGGAGCUGAAUGUCCAAGGAUAUAUGGUAUAUCGGAAAGAUGGG